AUUGAACGCUGGCGGCAGGCCUAACACAUGCAAGUCGAGCGGAUGAAGGGAGCUUUCGCCUGGAUUCCGCGGCGGACGGGUGAGUAAUGCCUAGGAAUCUGCCUUGUAGAGGGGGAUAACGUCCGUAAACGGGCGCUAAUAUCACAUACGUCCUGAUGUAGAACGUGGGGGAUCUUCGGACAUCACGCUAUCAGAUGAGACUAGGUCGGAUUAGCUAGUUGGUGGGGUAAAGGCCUACCAAGGCGACGAUCCGUAACUGGUCUGAGAGGAUGAUCAGUCACACUGGAACUGAGACACGGUCCAGACUCCUACGGGAGGCAGCAGUGGGGAAUAUUGGACAAUGGGCGAAAGCCUGAUGCAGCAAUGCCGCGUGUGUGAAGAAGGUCUUCGGAUUGUAAAGCACUUUUAGUUGGGAGGAAGGGCAGUAAGUUUAUACCUUGCUGUUUUGACGUUACCUACAGAAUAAGCACCGGCUAACUUCGUG
rnacentral:rRNA from 1 species